CACGUGAAAUUGUUGAAAGGAAGCGCUUGCACCAGACUCGCUCGCGGGGUUCUGCCGGGCUUCGGCCCGGUGUACUUCCCCGCGGGCGGGCCUGCGUCGGUUUGGGCGGCCGGUCAAGGCCUCCGGAUGUAGCGCCCUCGGGGCGCUUGUGCCGGGGGU
rnacentral:rRNA from 1 species